AACGAACGCUGGCGGCAUGCCUAACACAUGCAAGUCGAACGAAGGCUUCGGCCUUAGUGGCGCACGGGUGCGUAACGCGUGGGAACCUGCCCUUUGGUUCGGAAUAACCAGGAGAAAUUCUGGCUAAUACCGGAUGAUGUCGAAAGACCAAAGAUUUAUCGCCAUAGGAUGGGCCCGCGUAGGAUUAGCUAGUUGGUGAGGUAAAGGCUCACCAAGGCGACGAUCCUUAGCUGGUCUGAGAGGAUGAUCAGCCACACUGGGACUGAGACACGGCCCAGACUCCUACGGGAGGCAGCAGUGGGGAAUAUUGGACAAUGGGCGAAAGCCUGAUCCAGCAAUGCCGCGUGAGUGAUGAAGGCCUUAGGGUUGUAAAGCUCUUCUACCCGGGAUGAUAAUGACAGUACCGGGAGAAUAAGCCCCGGCUAACUCCGUGCCAGCCGCCGCCGUAA
rnacentral:rRNA from 1 species